CGUGUAGGCGGGGAUUUAAGUAAGGUGUGAAAACUCCAGGCUCAACUUGGAGAUUGCACUUUAAACUGGAUCUCUUGAGGGCAGGAGAGGAAAGUGGAAUUCCUAGUGUAGCGGUGAAAUGCGUAGAUAUUAGGAGGAACACCAGUGGCGAAGGCGACUUUCUGGACUGUACCUGACGCUGAGGCGCGAAAGCGUGGGUAGCGAACAG
rnacentral:rRNA from 1 species